GGCUCGGUGGCGGAACUGGCAUACGCGGAGGCCUCAAAAGUCUCUGCCCUCCGGGGCUUGCGGGUUCGAAUCCCGCCCGAGCUA
rnacentral:tRNA from 1 species